rnacentral:rRNA from 1 species
GACGAACGCUGGCGGCGUGCCUAAUACAUGCAAGCUGAGCGCUGAAGGUUGGUACUUGUACCAACUGGAUGAGCAGCGAACGGGUGAGUAACGCGUGGGGAAUCUGCCUUUGAGCAGGGGACAACAUUUGGAAACGAAUGCUAAUACCGCAUAAAAACUUUAAACACAAGUUUUAAGUUUGAAAGAUGCAAUUGCAUCACUCAAAGAUGAUCCCGCGUUGUAUUAGCUAGUUGGUGAGGUAAAGGCUCACCAAGGCGAUGAUACAUAGCCGACCUGAGAGGGUGAUCGGCCACAUUGGGACUGAGACACGGCCCAAACUCCUACGGGAGGCAGCAGUAGGGAAUCUUCGGCAAUGGACGAAAGUCUGACCGAGCAACGCCGCGUGAGUGAAGAAGGUUUUCGGAUCGUAAAACUCUGUUGGUAGAGAAGAACGUUGGUGAGAGUGGAAAGCUCACCAAGUGACGGUAACUACCCAGAAAGGGACGGCUAACUACGUG